rnacentral:rRNA from 1 species
CUGGGCGUAAAGGAUGAGAAGGCGGAGAUAAAAGUCUACCUUAAAUCUUAACCGCCCAACGGUUAAGCAGGGUAGAAUACUUUAUCUCUAGAAGAUACUAGAAGCUAACGGAACGUACGGUGUAGGGGUGAAAUCCGUUGAUAUCGUACGGAACGCCGAAGGCGAAGGCAGUUAGCUAUGGUAUCUUGACGCUGAUCCAUGAAAGCUAGGGGCGCAAACCGGAUUAGAUACCCGGGUAGUCCUAGCUGUAAACGAUGUAGGCUCGAUGUUGGGUUACCACGUGUAGCCCAGUGUCGCAGGGAAGCCGUUAAGCCUACCGCCUGGGGAGUACGGCCGCAAGGCUGAAACUUAAAGGAAUUGGCGGGGGAGCACACAAGGGGUGAAGCCUGCGGUUUAAUUGGAGUCAACGCCGGGAACCUUACCAGGGGUGACGCAGUGAAGGUAGGUAAAGACCUACCAGACAAGCUGAGAGGAGGUGCAUGGCCGUCGCCAGCUCGUGCCGUGAGGUGUCCUGUUAAGUCAGGUAACGGGCGAGACCCUCGUCCUUAGUUGCUGCCAUUUUUGAGUGGAGCUAACUAAGGAGACUGCCGCCGAUAAGGCGGAGGAAGGGGAGGGCUACGGCAGGUCAGUAUGCCCCGAAACCCUUGGGCCACACGCGGGCUGCAAUGGUAGGGACAAUGGGCUCCGACCUCGAAAGAGGAAGGAAUCCCCAAACCCUACCUCAGUUAUGAUUGAGGGCUGCAACCCGCCCUCAUGAAUCUGGAAUCCCUAG